CCCUGACAGCCACAUAAUGAGGCUGACACUAGCCUCGACAGGAGUAUCACAUG
rnacentral:ncRNA from 1 species